AGCUUUGCGCAGUGGCAGUAUCGUAGCCAAUGAGGUUUAUCCGAGGCGCGGUUAUUGCUAAUUAAAGAAGAACUGCUUGAGAUCAGAAACUGACGGGCUCAAACUUGCUCACUGAAUUUGGCUGUUAAGAAGUUAA